AUAACUCUGGGAUGUUCGCCAGCGGGUCUGAUUCCCCUGAGCCGAUAUCUACAUCUUCGGAUUGCGUUCUGCAUAUUUAGAGCGUAUGCCUACCUCGUGUAGGAAACCCGGCAAGUAUGCGUCGCGUCCACCUUGAACUUUAAGGGUUCAAGGGUAACGACAUUGCAGCGGCAUCUUCGGAGUGUUU
rnacentral:other from 2 species